rnacentral:rRNA from 1 species
UUAAGCGACUAAGCGUACACGGUGGAUGCCCUGGCAGUCAGAGGCGAUGAAGGACGUGCUAAUCUGCGAAAAGCGUCGGUAAGGUGAUAUGAACCGUUACAGCCGGCGAUGUCCGAAUGGGGAAACCCAGUGCAAUUCGUUGCACUAUCGUUAACUGAAUACAUAGGUUAACGAGGCGAACCGGGGGAACUGAAACAUCUAAGUACCCCGAGGAAAAGAAAUCAACCGAGAUUCCCCCAGUAGCGGCGAGCGAACGGGGAGCAGCCCGGAGUCUGAAUCAGCUUGUGUGUUAGUGGAAGCGUCUGGAAAGUCGCAGGGUACAGGGUGAUACUCCCGUACACUAAAACACACAGGCUGUGAACUCGAAGAGUAGGGCGGGACACGUGGUAUCCUGUCUGAAUAUGGGGGGACCAUCCUCCAAGGCUAAAUACUCCUGACUGACCGAUAGUGAACCAGUACCGUGAGGGAAAGGCGAAAAGAACCCCGGCGAGGGGAGUGAAAAAGAACCUGAAACCGUGUACGUACAAGCAGUAGGAGCCCACUAGUUGGGUGACUGCGUACCUUUUGUAUAAUGGGUCAGCGACUUAUAUUCUGUAGCAAGGUUAACCGUAUAGGGGAGCCGCAGGGAAACCGAGUCUUAACUGGGCGUUAAGUUGCAGGGUAUAGACCCGAAACCCGGUGAUCUAGCCAUGGGCAGGUUGAAGGUUGGGUAACACUAACUGGAGGACCGAACCGACUAAUGUUGAAAAAUUAGCGGAUGACUUGUGGCUGGGGGUGAAAGGCCAAUCAAACCGGGAGAUAGCUGGUUCUCCCCGAAAGCUAUUUAGGUAGCGCCUCGUGAAUUCAUCUUCGGGGGUAGAGCACUGUUUCGGCUAGGGGGUCAUCCCGACUUACCAACCCGAUGCAAACUACGAAUACCGAAGAAUGUUAUCACGGGAGACACACGGCGGGUGCUAACGUCCGUCGUGAAGAGGGAAACAACCCAGACCGCCAGCUAAGGUCCCAAAGUCAUGGUUAAGUGGGAAACGAUGUGGGAAGGCCCAGACAGCCAGGAUGUUGGCUUAGAAGCAGCCAUCAUUUAAAGAAAGCGUAAUAGCUCACUGGUCGAGUCGGCCUGCGCGGAAGAUGUAACGGGGCUAAACCAUGCACCGAAGCUGCGGCAGCGACACUAUGUGUUGUUGGGUAGGGGAGCGUUCUGUAAGCCGUUGAAGGUGGCCUGUGAGGGUUGCUGGAGGUAUCAGAAGUGCGAAUGCUGACAUAAGUAACGAUAAUGCGGGUGAAAAACCCGCACGCCGGAAGACCAAGGGUUCCUGUCCAACGUUAAUCGGGGCAGGGUGAGUCGACCCCUAAGGCGAGGCCGAAAGGCGUAGUCGAUGGGAAACAGGUUAAUAUUCCUGUACUUGGUGUUACUGCGAAGGGGGGACGGAGAAGGCUAUGUUGGCCGGGCGACGGUUGUCCCGGUUUAAGCAUGUAGGCGGAUGUUCCAGGUAAAUCCGGAACGUUAUUAACGCUGAGGUGUGAUGACGAGGCACUACGGUGCUGAAGUGACAAAUGCCCUGCUUCCAGGAAAAGCCUCUAAGCAUCAGGUAACAUCAAAUCGUACCCCAAACCGACACAGGUGGUCAGGUAGAGAAUACCAAGGCGCUUGAGAGAACUCGGGUGAAGGAACUAGGCAAAAUGGUGCCGUAACUUCGGGAGAAGGCACGCUGAUGGUAAGUGAAGUGACUUGCUCAUGGAGCUGAAAUCAGUCGAAGAUACCAGCUGGCUGCAACUGUUUAUUAAAAACACAGCACUGUGCAAACACGAAAGUGGACGUAUACGGUGUGACGCCUGCCCGGUGCCGGAAGGUUAAUUGAUGGGGUUAUCCUCGCGGAGAAGCUCUUGAUCGAAGCCCCGGUAAACGGCGGCCGUAACUAUAACGGUCCUAAGGUAGCGAAAUUCCUUGUCGGGUAAGUUCCGACCUGCACGAAUGGCGUAAUGAUGGCCAGGCUGUCUCCACCCGAGACUCAGUGAAAUUGAACUCGCUGUGAAGAUGCAGUGUACCCGCGGCAAGACGGAAAGACCCCGUGAACCUUUACUAUAGCUUGACACUGAACACUGGUCCUUGAUGUGUAGGAUAGGUGGGAGGCUUUGAAGUGUGGACGCCAGUCUGCAUGGAGCCAUCCUUGAAAUACCACCCUUUAAUGGCUGGUGUUCUAACGUGGGCCCGUAAUCCGGGUUGCGGACAGUGUCUGGUGGGUAGUUUGACUGGGGCGGUCUCCUCCUAAAGAGUAACGGAGGAGCACGAAGGUCAGCUAAUCCUGGUCGGACAUCAGGAGGUUAGUGCAAUGGCAUAAGCUGGCUUGACUGCGAGCGUGACGGCGCGAGCAGGUGCGAAAGCAGGUCAUAGUGAUCCGGUGGUUCUGAAUGGAAGGGCCAUCGCUCAACGGAUAAAAGGUACUCCGGGGAUAACAGGCUGAUACCGCCCAAGAGUUCAUAUCGACGGCGGUGUUUGGCACCUCGAUGUCGGCUCAUCACAUCCUGGGGCUGAAGUAGGUCCCAAGGGUAUGGCUGUUCGCCAUUUAAAGUGGUACGCGAGCUGGGUUUAGAACGUCGUGAGACAGUUCGGUCCCUAUCUGCCGUGGGCGCUGGAGAAUUGAGGGGGGCUGCUCCUAGUACGAGAGGACCGGAGUGGACGCAUCACUGGUGUUCGGGUUGUCAUGCCAAUGGCAUUGCCCGGUAGCUAAAUGCGGAAGAGAUAAGUGCUGAAAGCAUCUAAGCACGAAACUUGCCCCGAGAUGAGUUCUCCCUGACUCCUUGAGAGUCCUGAAGGAACGUUGAAGACGACGACGUUGAUAGGCCGGGUGUGUAAGCGCAGCGAUGCGUUGAGCUAACCGGUACUAAUGAACCGUGAGGCUUAACCUU